UUCUGAAAUCUCUGGAAACUUCUCAAGUAUUGAGCAAAAAGAGAGAUCAAAGGUUUCAAGAGAUUUCAUACAAAUGUUGCUUGAAAAGGUCUUGAGUUUGCUGCACCAACUUAGAUCCAAGAGGACAAGUUUUUCAAGGGCAGAAAUGGAUGGGUGAACCUUAUAUAAACUUGUGCAUCCACCAAGAAUUAGCUUCUCAAGAUUCUUUGCCUCAGUGAAGUCAGGUGUGUCCUUAAGACGAUAAGAGCCUUUUAAAUUGAUAAUUUUCAACUUUCCCAGAGGCUAUCAAUAUACAUCAAGGAAAAUAUGUGUUACCUACAUAACAAGGCAUUUAAAAACUAAACCAUUUAAAAGCAGUAUAUAGGCAAAUGAUGAACGUACCUUAGUUCCUUUCCAGAGGUGUUCAACCCAACUAUAUUGCAUGUCAAUCUCAACAAGAUUCUCGCGGUUAAAAUUGGACGACAAAGACUUUAGGGGACAUUUGUGCCAGAAUAGAUAACUUAGUUUUUCAGAGAGAAACUUUAGAUCCUCGUACUGGCAGUGAUCAUUGGCCGGCUCGCAGUCUGGUGGUAAAUAGUCGGUAUGGACUCUGAGUAGUCUUAGUUUUCGCAUUUGAGCAAAGGCGGUAUCUAAUUCCACCACAUUGUUUGAGUGUGGCCAAUGCACAAUUAUGCUUUCAACUGCUUCUGUAGCCUGGAUUACCAAAAUUGCACAUUGAAUGAGUACAAACUUAAGAUUAUAACGCCUAAUGCACAUGUUUCUCAUGAAUUGGAUUUUGGUCAAAGUCGAAUCAUUAUACUUAUUAUUAUUGUUGUUGUUGUUAUUAUUAUUAUUUAAAUUUACUAAUAUUAAUGGGAGAGAGAAGAUUCGAAGCAAUUACAUUAACGGAGGGGAGGGGAGUGCAUUUCUCACCGUUUUAUUAGUUAACACAUGACGGACAUCUUCACAGCAGCAUAACCUACUGCGCCUCCCAGGCUCUUCUAUAGAUUCCUCGCGUACGAUUUCAUGACCCAUUUCCUCUAGUAAAUCAUGCAUCUCGAGGACACCAUCAGAUGAGAUGGUGACAAGAGCUCUACCAACUAGAACCUCUAAUCCGGUAUGGGGAUGGAAGGCACAACCCUCCAUAAUCCUUGUUGCAGAGUCUUUCUUCAUUUGUUUAAAGAAACAUGCAAUAUCAAGAAAUAUUUUCUUCUGCAAACCAUCUAGUCCAUCAAAGCUUGUUCUAAGGACUGUCUGGAUUCCCAGGUUCGGAUUUCUCGCUAUUUUCUUUAACUCAUCUUUCCACACAAGUACACUUUUGUUAUCGAGGAAUCCUCCCAAGACUUUGAGUGCUAAAGGCAAACCUUGAGCAUAUUUUGUGAAAUGGCCUGACAGAUCAAUGUAUUCUUUUGUGGGUUGCUUUGUCCUGAAAGCAUCCUGCAUAAACAGCUUGAGAGCAUCUUCAUCGUUUAACACCUCGGGCUCAUAUAUCUGACCACCAAGUCCAUUUAGUGACUGUUUAUCUCUAGUUGUUAUAAUGAUUCGACUUCCGCCACCAAAUGAAGGUUGCUUUCCAAUUAAGGCUUCAAUUUGUCUCCACAUUAUCCAGAACAAGUAAAACUUUUUUCUUACCAACUCUUUCCAUCAUCUUCUGAAAACCAUUUCUCAAAAUCUCUGAACGCCCCACCUUCAUAUUUGUGAUACUAGAUAGAAUUUCUGCCUGCAUAUCUAGUGGUGCUUCACCUGCAUCAGUUGACGGAAAACGUCUCUUGACAUUUUCAACAAAGCAACCACCUUCGAAGAGAUGAUUGAUUUUGUCAUACAUAGCUCUAGCGAUGGUGGUUUUGCCUAUACCGCCCAUACCCCAUAUUCCAACAAAGCGAACGUUACCGAGCUCGGGACAUAAUAGUGACUCCAUUUUCUGUAAGCGGGAAUCCAUCCCAACCAAGCCAUUCUUUUCACUUGGUAAGAUGUUCAUCAAUUUCUUUAAAAUAUCACCUACAAUCAACUUAAUAAGCUUGGCAUCAUCCCUGCCAAAUUUGAAAAACAGUAUUGUCAAGUCCUGGGAUUGCUAGUUAUAUAACACUCAUCACACUGUCAUUGAAAACACAAAGUAACGACCCAAUAAUUCUCAAUUUAUUCUUCUUUCAUUUACUCAAUGCACUCUUCUAAGUUCAAUCAACAUAUAAGAGAACUAGUCAUCUAUAUCCUCUCAAGAUGUUUUAUAGACCUUUUAAUCGUGCCCCUUUAUAUUGAUCUUGCGGUGAAGAAUUAAUUUAACUUGUUCUUUUUUUACUUAUUCAUGUUGGACGACGUCUUUUCUACAUUAUUUCUCUUUUUUAUAUUAUUUUCCUCGUCCCUUGUCAUGGCAAAGAUCUAGAUGUGGCAGUGGAAAGUUUUGCAGAGAGUUGGUGAGUAUUCAAUUUUGUAGAGGGUUGGGAAGGAAGUCUUGGUUCUAGUUGUAUUAACAUCAUUAUAAACUAAAAAGACCAAAACAGGAAAUUAGCUAAACUUGUAAACUAGUAAGUAAAUAAGAUUAUGAAGGAAUGAGUUACUGGCAAUUUUGUGAAUCCCAGCCACAUAAAUUGGGGGCUCUUUGUAAAGCGGACCUCCACCGCUGCACUUCUUCCAUGUCGGCGUUAGGAUCAUGUUCAUGUUUAGAAAAAGCUUUCUCAAAACUUCCCUUGAUUUUACGAACAUGAGAUGGGUCUACUUGGUAGAAAAUGGGAAUCACAAUCUGCUUCUUCUGAUCCAUGCAUUGCAGGAUUUGGACGAGUUCUUUCAAGCACCAUGUGGAAGAAGCGUAGUUUUGAGAAAAAACUACAACUGAAAGCCGUGAGUCGCUUAUAGCUGUCAGUAGCUGCGAAAGGUCGUUGCCUUUUCUGAGCUCUUCAGCGUCACUGAAGGUGUUGAUUGAGUUCUGAACUAGAGCUUCGUAGAGAUGGCAGAUGAAGGUCCUGCGAGUGUCUUCGCCUUGAAAAUUCAAGAAGACUUGAUAUUUCCUGUGGAAAUUUUCAGGUCGACGGGUCGAGGGCCCACUCCAACAACACCGAUACUGUUCCCACUUAACCACAUGCACAAUCCUCAGGUGUGGGGCUUUAUCACAAAAGGCCUCGAUGUUAGUUAGAGAGGGGUAUUUCUAUUUAAAGCACUUUUUUCUUCUCCCUCUGUCCGAUGUGGGACUGAGGGUUCCAACACUCCCCCGCACGUGAGACCCCACUUAUGGGUCACACGUGAAUUUCCACACAUCGGCAACCAUGUGGAGCCAUGUCGGGACUCACCCAAUCACGCGGGGCCAAUGGGGACCCAUCCAAACACGUGGCAUCUUUGGCCUACGUGGACAAUCGCGCGGGGCCAAAGGGGACCCACCCAAUCAUGUGGCAAUACGGGCCCGCCUCCUGGCUCUGAUACCAUGUGGAAAUUUUCAGGUCGACGGGCAAAAAAAAAAAGAAAGUUUUUUUUUUUUAAAUUGUUGUCAAUGACAGUAGAAAAGCAAAAACAGGUCUACCAUGCUUCUAAUAAAAGUGUUUUUUUUCAACGCAUAGUAAUUAAUGUCAUUUAUGAAAUUUUCAAAUAGCAAGUAUACCCCCGUAUAUUUUACAAAAUUACAAUGAUUGCCCCUACAUUAUUUUGUUUGAAUAUUAUUAUAUCACAUUAAAUACUACAUUUUUCUUAGGCAUUUGACGUGAGGUUUUAUCACAAAAGGCCUCGAUGUUAGUUAGAGAUGGGUAUUUCUAUUUAAAGCACUCUUUUCUUCUCCCUCUGUCCGAUGUGGGACUGAGGGUUCCAACACUCCCCCGCACGUGAGACCCCACUUAUGGGUCACACGUGAAUUUCCACACAUCGGCAACCACGUGGAGCCAUGUUGGAACUCACCCAAUCACGCGGGGCCAAUGGGGACCCACCCAAACACGUGGCAUCUUUGGCCUACGUGGACAAUCGCGCGGGGCCAAAGAGGACCCACCCAAUCACGUGGCAGUACGGGCCCGCCUCCUGGCUCUGAUACCAUGUGGAAAUUUUCAGGUCGACGGGCCGAAGGCCCACUCCAACAACACCGAUACUGUCCCCACUUAACCACCUGCACAAUCUUCAGGUGUGGAGUUUUAUCACAAAAGGCCUCGAUGUUAGUUAGAGAUUGGUAUUUCUAUUUAAAGCACUCUUUUCUUCUCCCUCUGUCCGAUGUGGGACUGAGGGUUCCAACAUUUCCAAUCAGGAACAGAUGAAGAAGAAGAAGAAGCCAUCAACAAGCACAAGAUCGACAGCCUAAUGUGAGUCUGGCGUAGCCCCUUAACAAACUCAAGAUUGCAGGUCAACGACCCCCUUCAUUGGUUCUCCCUAGAAAAAUGAGAUGCAUCUUCAAGGGAGGCGCUUGGAAGUUGCCAGGAAAAGGGUCGCUUUGGCUAAAUAAAGUCCGCUAAUCUACGCCGUCCGAUUGAAUAAAGCAAGUGGGAUUGCACAUGUUGGCCGACAACCCCAUCAGGCUGGGCCCCAGUCCCUUCAGCAUGCUCCUUUUCCCUUGCUUUUUUGGCGCGUUGCCUUCCUUGUGGAGCGUCAAAGUGCGCAGCUUUCUCUCUUUCUCAGCGCGUCCACACGCGGAGCGGGUGAGUAUAGGAAAAGGAUCCGCAAGGAUUGUUUUGUUAGGGAUUCUAGAGAUUCUGUUAUCGGGAUCGUUCAUCGUAUAUUGUACAGUUGUAAAUUAUUUUAAAAUAUAAAAUUAAAUAUAAAUAAUACCUAAUAAAAACUGACAGCAUAAUGUAUGAUGAACGAUCACGAUCACGGAAUCUCAAAAAAAAAAGAUUCGGCAAGGAUCAUUUUCCAAAAAUUUUAAUCCAACUGGUUUCUUGUGUUAAAUUUAUCCCAAAAAUUAGUUUUGACCAAAAAUUGAUUUUUGGUCCAAGGGUUGGAGCAAAUCGAGAGAGUUUAAAAACAAAAAUUUAAGUUAGUCUAACAAAUACAAAUGAAAGAAAGUAACAUUCAUAUUUUAUUGUGCCCUUUAAUUUUUAUUUAAAAUGGUCUCGCAUAACUACUUACUUUUAAAAUUGAUAAAAAUGGUCCUGCCUUUGUUCUUUGUUUUUCAUUUAUUUAUAGGUAACUUGCUCAAGUCCAAAGGCAAUUAAACAUGAUUAGUAAAGCACCAUAAUAAAGCAUGAGAGAUAUCUAUUUUAAUUAAAUCCGUUGUGGGCUCACUGUGAUUGUACAUCAUCAUCAUCAUAAAUAAUGCAUGCUUGAACCCCAUUUUAGUUUCAUGCCUAUCAUGAUUAAAUCAUGGAUGGUCAAGAAGCAUAGGACUGAGAAAUCAGAGCCUAGUUUCCAAUACCAAAAGAGUACAAAUUAUUCAACUUAAACGCUAAUUUCGUUAACGAAGAUUAAAAUAGGCGUGAAAUCCAUACAAUUUAUACGUUACCAUUGAUUCAAGUUCUGGUAGGUAUCCAUGAAAACUAUCCGUUGCCGCUCUCUCAGUUCCCAUAUUUUCUGUAUAUUCCAUUAAAACAAUAUAAAUUUUUGAUGCUGAAGCUAAAACAGAUUACCAAUAAUAACAAAGAGGUCUAAAUAAUAGAAAUCAAAUUUUUUAUUUUUGCGGACUUUAGAGAAUCCCUGCAAACUUUAGCCUAACAUUAUGUGAUUGCCUCACUUCUUCAGUAACUCAGAGGAGGUGAAUUACUCAAAGUAUGGAGGACUUCUGCUAACAUAUUUCAAGCACUUGUAACAUUAAAUGUAAUGACAGGUUGACAUUAUUUUUUUUUUAAUUUUUUUUUUUGUAAAGAAUUGUUGCAAGAAGUUUGACCCUUUGUCUUUUUAUUUCUGUAAGGAUUUAUAGGUACAUAUAAAAUCCAUAUUAUAUAUGGUUCACAGAUGAGAGUACUUCAAACACCAAAUAUUCAUUCAUGAUUGGAGAUAAGAAAGCUUACUAAAAGGCAAUCGCCUUUGUGAUGUUUACUUUUGUGCUUAUCCUUUGUCUUCUUUUCUGAGGCAAAAUAUGUCAAUGUGAUAAGUAAUUUCCCAUAAAGAAUCUCAUCCUCAAUAGGCUAAACAACUACAAUGGUUAGUCAAAUAAUGUACUUUCAUGUAGUUAAUCUCCUCGGUUUGUGUUUACUUUUUCAAUAUCAAAACAUCUCGAAGAAACAACGUUUUCCCAUACUCUACAAACACCGAAUGUGCCCGAUAAACCACUAACAACGCCAUUACUCUAAUUCGACUGCAGAGUGAGAGUUAAGAUAAGAAGAUACUCACAGGUCAAAACGGAUGACAUCACCAACACGUAAAUCCAAAAGCCACAACCAAAUUUAAUUUUGUUUUUACUUUGAUUUUUUUUUUCUUGAAUCUGUUUGGAUGCUGAGAACGUGUGGUAUGGGAUUAUUAAUUACCGGCAGGGAAAGAUGACGAUUUCUCCUAUUUGGAUUUGCAGGUGGAGGAAUCAUAGCCGAGGGAUUGCAGUCCGUCGGUGACCAUCUUCCUCAAAUCGUCUUUUUGUUUGAGAUUCUUGUUUGCUUCGACGAUCCUCACCGUAUCGGCCAGGAGGUUUCUCUCCGAGACGCUCACGCAUGGAAUCAGACUCUGAUUAAACAAUAAUUAAGCAAACAAUCAAUCAUCCAUAUGCAUAUUCUGUGUUUGGUUGCCAAGAAACCGCGAGAAAUGCAAAAACAAUUUACUAAUAAAAAAGUUUAAUCAAAGCAACCAUUAUUUAUACUUUUGUACCUUAAGAAUAUCUGAGGCGUCGCCACCGAACAAACCGGAGGAGAUUGAAUCACCGAAACCUCCACCGAAUAUAUCGAGCUCGUCGUCGGAGCUGUCAUUGCUGUUGCCGUGAAAGCAAUUGCAGCGGUUCCGUCCACAUUUCGGCGGAGGUUGCUUCUCGUUGCUUUCUUCGAUGAAAUUCUGAACCAUCUUCGCCAAGCAGACCGAACUUGGCUUGAACUCAGGCCGCGGCGCUGACGGUCCCUUCAUCCUUGCUGAUAUUGAGGCCGCAGGAGUGGCGAGUUGUGAUGUGGACUCAGGCCUCUUGGCCUCUGGGUUUUACGGAGAAGGGGAAGACGGUGAGGGUUGAGAGAGAUGCAGAGUCUGAAAGAGAGUGAAAGAGAAAGGGUUAUAAGAGAGGUUGGGUGUGACAGAGACGAUUGAAGCAAAACGCACGAUGAUAAACGCGUGUGCUCGGUUCAGAAUGGCAAGCCCGUAAAUACCCAAUGACAGAUUUGUAAAUAAAAUGAAAUUCACUUCAAAAUACUGUUCAUUUUAAUAGUGCCAAUUGAAAACCUUACUUUAGACUAAAGUAACUAGAAAUUAUGCAUGCGCGUUGCUACUAGAAUCAGCUGUUUCAAACGUAAUUGGAUGGACAUAACACAUUUAAGUUGAAUAAAUUCAAAACAAUUACGAACAAACAGAAGGAUACAUGAGUGCAUGAGACCGGUAAGAUCAGUAGUUUCGUUUUUGUACACUUGUAAGUGAGUUGACAUAUAAACACAUUGCACAAUGAGUGAGAAUAAACUAUACGUGUUUGAAACUUCAUUUUAAACUAACAUUCACACAAUCCUAAUCAUUUGUGAAUUACCAUAUUCUUAUCAUUAUUCCAAUAUCUCUUCAUGUAGAUGGGGUGAGCUCAUACCAGUCAUUAAGGGCAUGUUUGAUACUCUACUUGAAUUCAACUUUUUAAAUUAAAAAAAAAAAAAUUCAAAUUUUAAGCCUUAAAAACUUGUUUGGUAAGAUUAUUUUCAAAAAUUGAACUUAAGAUUAACUCAAAACUAUAGUUUACUCUCUAAAAACACAAAAAGUAAAUUUUUAGAAUUUUUAAACUUAAACUCACUCAUUUCUUUUCUCUCCCUCCUCUCACUCCAAAUCUAUCUCUCUUUUCUUCUUUCUAUGUCCCCCUUCUUUUUUUUUUUUUACCUUUUUCGUCCCUCCUCCAAUCCGCUCUCUUUAUUAUCUCGAUUCUUUCUUUCACUUCUCUUCCUCCCUAUCUCCUCCGAUCCUCUCUUCUUUCUCUUUCCUUUAAUCACGUCUUAUUUUCUUUCCUCCUCUUUCCUCUUUCUCCCUCGACCCCCUCUUUUUGGAUCUCUUUGUCCAGUUUAAGUUGUAAGAUUUAAAAAUUUUAAAUCACAUACCAAACAAGUUUUGUAGUCUUAAAUAAAAUUAUUUUCAAGAAAAAUUCCUAAGAAAUGUUUUGAGAAAUGAUAAAAAAUUUCAAAUAGGAUAUCAAACAAGCAUUAAAAUUGCUAAUGUAUUUAGUGAUUAUACAGAGCAACUUAACUAUAGAAACGCUCCUCAAAUCACUCUAUACGUUUCCAUUUUGCUUUUCAAAUUAGCAUGUUUAUGUAUUGACAUUAGAAACAGCGGAAAAUACUUUUUACAUUCACCUCUUUCAGACCCUGCGUAAAGCGGGAGCCUUGUGCACUGAGUACGACCUUUAUGCAUUGACAUUAGAGAAAACGAGAAUGCUGAUGAAAAUUGGAUUAUUAGAGGUUAAACGGCAGCGAACCAUUCGGUGUUGAUAAUGAAUACGAAGAUGUGCGAUUUCACGUGAAUGCUGCUUGGAAGGCUAUGAAGUUUCUUGCACUGCUUUAGACUCAAACUCUCAAGGUUUUCAAGAGAUGAAAUUGAUGGGCAAAGGUCUUCAACAGAUAUCUCAUCCAAGCGAAGCUCUCUUAAUCCUUCCAGAUCUCCGACAUUUCCUGGAAAGCCCUUGAGCUUUGGACAACCAGAAAGAUUAAGAAAUUGCAGGGACUUGAGUUGAACAAAGCUGUUUGGAAGAAUCUCAAGUUCUCUGCAAUAUUCAAGAUUCAAAGUAACAAGCCCUGUAAGAUUGUUAAUUGAUCGAGGCAGUUCUUUUAUUGCAGUCCCUUGAAAAUAAAGCUUUGAAAGCUUCUCCAUAACUUCUGAAAUCUCUGGAAACUUCCCAAGUAUUGAACAAAAAGAGAGAUCAAGGGUUUCAAGAGAUUUCAUACUAAUGUUGCUUGAAAAGGUCUUGAGUUUGCCGCACCAACUUAGAUCCAAGAGGACAAGUUUUUCAAGGGCAGAAAUGGAUGGGUGAACCUCAUACAAACUUGUGCAUCUACCAAGAAUUAGCUUCUCAAGAUUCUUUGCCUCAGUGAAGUCAGGUGUUUCCUUAAGACGAUGAGAGCCUUUUAAAUUGAUAAUUUUCAACUUUCCCAGAGGCUGUCAAUAUACAAGGAAAAUAUGUGUUACCCACAUAAUAAGGCAAUUAAAAACUAAAGCAUUUAAAAGCAGUAUAU
rnacentral:lncRNA from 1 species